rnacentral:tRNA from 1 species
GCAUCGGUGGUCUAGUGGUAGAAUACUCACCUGCCACGCGGGUGACCCGGGUUCAAUUCCCGGUCGAUGCA